UGAUCGUAUAUUUGUUGGGGGUUUACCGUAUUACUUUACUGAGGUACAGAUAAGAGAGCUGCUAGAAUCCUUUGGACCGCUGCGUGGGUUUGAUCUUGUGAAGGAUAGAGAUACUGGAAACUCUAAAGGAUAUGGUUUAUGUGUCUAUGAGGAUCAAGCAGCCACAGACGUUGCCUGUGCUGCACUUAAUGGCUUAAAAAUAGGGGAUAAAACACUCACAGUCAGACGUGCAACCA